UUUAGACUAGAUAUAAGGAGGAAAUUCUUCCUAGCGAGGGUGGUGAGGCCCUGUCCCAGGCUGCCCAGAGGAGCUGUGGCUGCCCCAUCCCUGGCAGUGCCCAAGGCCAGGCUGGAUGGGGCUGGGGGCAGCCUGGGCUGGUGGGAGGGGGCCCUGCCCAUGGCAGGGGGUGGCACUGGGUGGGCUUUGAGGUCCCUUCCAUCCCAAAUUUUCUGUGACUCUGUGAUCUGAGCGGGGCUCUGUGUAACGCUCUCCCUGUGCUCACCUUUCAGGCGCUCGUCUCAAGCGGCUGAUUCCCGUGAAGUGCAAAGCCAUGAAGAACGAGUUCCCGAGUAUCCUGCGGUUCAUCACAAUCUGUGAUUACACCAAUCCUUGCACCAAAAAAAUGGUUCUGGACAAGACUGGCCAAAUCCCUCAUGCUGCCAUGACGCGAAGCUACGAGUUCCAGCUGCUCUUUUUUUAAUUUUUCCUGACUUUGCCUUCGGGACCACGGUGUCGCUCACGCGGUGCCUUUUACCACUGCAGAACUUGGAGCCUCACCAUCAGUGCUUGGAGCCGGCGACUGGGAGCAAAGAAUUUUCUCUUCUGCUUUUUCUUAACCUGUACGGGGAGAUAAAGGAACUGCCCGGGUGUUCCUCUUUGGGUCGGUGAGCAACAGCACCCGGCAUUUCAUGUAGUAAGAACUUCUACUGGAGAUAGAGGAAAUACACAUUUAAAAACUGAGUCACUAACAUGAGAAGGCCAAUUGUAAGCAUUUAGUGAAACCUGGGAACAUAAAAUGCUGGUGUAAGAUAGGAAAUGCCUCAAACUGCAGGCUUUUGUAAACAAAAUUGUCGUGCUAUUUUAAAAGCUCUCUAAGGGCUACAGUGACGUUUAGGGUUGGUUUCUUGUUAACACGUCAGUGAAAUCCCACGGCUGCUCGGUGAUCUGCAGGAGGGGAGGCUUCGGACUCCAGUUCCCAGUUUGGGAAUGGCCAGCACCAGCAGAACGACCAAUUGUGACACCAAAAUCAGCCACGUCUUCUGGUCUGGUUUUUCACCUCAAUUCUUAGCAAUAUCAGGAAAAUCGGAGCUGUUAUCCUUGCAAUUUGAACUGAUGCAGAAUCACUGAACUCAGCUUUAUUUUCCGCGGAUGUUUCCAUCCUUCGGCUCUCUCACAGGAUUCCCGUUCCGUGUUCAUUUACAGCGUAAAUCCCUUGGCACCAGCGCUUCCUGAGGUAGUUCCUCAGGUUUGACAGAAGUGAUUUUUUUUGCUUACUGAAGCGAGAAGUGCGAGGAAGGACACGCUCUCGCAGCGUGUCUGCCCAUGUUCAGGUGACAUCUGAUUAAGUAGCGUGUCUUACACCAGGAUUUUACACUCCCAGGCCUUGUUAAACAUUUACAACAGACACUUGUUAUUAGAGAAUCAGUCUUUAAACCUGUAUUUUCAGGGGGAGGCCUUGCUACACAAGGUGCAGGGUGCUUUUGCUCACUGACUUGAAGAGGAACAGAGCUGGGCACCUCCGUGGGUCCGGCUCUUAAACUGUGUGACCUUUAAGAGCCUGCCAGAAGUACAUCAGCUUUGGGGAUGCCUCAAAGGCGCAAGGAUAAAUAUCAAAUAAAAAGUGUACUGAAUUAUAGAUGGGGCUGUUUAAAUUAUAAAAGAUAAUGUGCCCUUAAUAGGAAAGAGCAUGUUUGAAUUAACCAGCAGAGUCACUGAUGUGUGGGCAAGAAUUCUGCCCCAAGCAGUGCUUUCAAGUGACCUGUUGCUCUAUUAAACAGCUUUUCAGUAAAUAUUUACCUACUAAUUGGGAAGAGGGGAAGCUUGCUCGUGUAUCUGCAGUUGUCUGAACUCUGCCUCUUUGUUCCUCACUUCAGCCCCUGCCUCCUGUUGAUUUUACAGCUUAAUGGUUUACUAGUUUACAUUUUUAAGGUGGAUGUGAGUUUUUAAAGAUGUUUUAAAGCAUUACCAGGGCUGAGUUCCUCAGGCAGGAAUGUGCACAUUUCUUUUCCUCACCCACGCCAAAAAUGAAUGCUUACUCACCUGGGGCUGCUGCUUCCUCCUGGCUGAGAGCACUCAGGCCUUGAUUUGAGCACAGCAACGCUUGGUGACACGUUUUAUGCCAGCAUCAGGGCAGUUUGGGACUGCAAACUGUGUGUUUUUCACUCCUUUCUACAAACACAACUGCUGCCACGGUGCCAAGGUGACAUUUGCAUCUUCCUGUCUCCAAUAAGAAGCCCCCUGGGCAAGGGAGGAGAAAAGUUGAGCUGAUGAUGGGUUUCUAAAUAGUUCCUCUUCAUGUCCUAUCGCCCUCGGGCCUCUCCUGCAGAAACAGCCAGCUGCUUGCCUCGGGGCUUCUGCAUAAUCGUUAAAUGUUAAUUAUGGACGAGUUUCUGGAGGCUGCUUGAUCCCCGGCCGCUCCUGGGGCUUGGUGAAUUCCCAUACUCCAGAGUGCCUCUCAACAUUAAUUACGGGUCAUUACUCACAGGACUGAACCAGACUCCUCUCGAAUUGAGGGCUGAAAGAACUUGUCCGGUGUCUUAUUAGGGGCAGGAACAAAAGCAGGAGGCUCUGGUCCAGACGCUAGAGGGAGGUAAAGGUCCGUGCUGCCAGCUCGGGAGCUGUGCUGUGAGCUGGA
rnacentral:lncRNA from 1 species